UGGAUCAUGUUGUUUAAUUCGAUGAUACGCGAAGAACCUUACCAGGUCUUGACAUCCCCUGCAAAGCUAUGGAGACAUAGUGGAGGUUAUCAGGGAGACAGGUGGUGCAUGGCUGUCGUCAGCUCGUGUCGUGAGAUGUUGGGUUAAGUCCCGCAACGAGCGCAACCCUCGCCAUUAGUUGCCAUCAUUAAGUUGGGCACUCUAGUGGGACUGCCGGUGAUAAGCCGGAGGAAGGUGGGAUGACGUCAAGUCAUCAUGGCCCUUACGGGCUGGGCUACACACGUGCUACAAUGGCGGUGACAGUGGGCAGCGAGGCAGCAAUGCCAAGCUAAUCUCAAAAAGCCGUCUCAGUUCGGAUUGGGGUCUGCAACUCGACCCCAUGAAGUCGGAAUCGCUAGUAAUCGCGCAUCAGCACGGCGCGGUGAAUACGUUCCCGGGCCUU
rnacentral:rRNA from 1 species